rnacentral:rRNA from 1 species
GCUUAGAGUUUGAUCCUGGCUCAGAACGAACGCUGGCGGCAGGCCUAACACAUGCAAGUCGAACGAUCUCUUCGGAGAUAGUGGCGCACGGGUGCGUAACGCGUGGGAAUAUACCCUUGAGUAAGGAAUAACGUAGAGAAAUUUACGCUAAUACCUUAUAAUGACUUCGGUCCAAAGAUUUAUCGCUCAAGGAUUAGCCCGCGUUUGAUUAGAUAGUUGGUGAGGUAACGGCUCACCGAGUCGACGAUCAAUAGCUGGUCUGAGAGGAUGAUCAGCCACACUGGUACUGAGACACGGACCAGACUCCUACGGGAGGCAGCAGUGAGGAAUAUUGGACAAUGGGGGCAACCCUGAUCCAGCCAUGCCGCGUGAGUGAAGAAGGCCUUCGGGUUGUAAAGCUCUUUCAAACGUGAAGAUAAUGACGGUAGCGUUAGAAGAAGCUCCGGCUAAAUUCGUGCCAGCAGCCGCGGUAAUACGAAUGGAGCAAGCGUUGUUCGGAAUCACUGGGCUUAAAGCGUGCGUAGGUGGACUGUAAAGUCAGAAGUGAAAUCCCGGGGCUCAACCCCGGAACUGCUUUUGAAACUCACAGUCUCGAAUCCAGGAGAGGUUAGCAGAAUUCCGAGUGUAGAGGUGAAAUUCGCAGAUAUUCGGAGGAAUACCAGAGGCGAAGGCGGCUAACUGGACUGGCAUUGACACUGAGGCACGAAAGCGUGGGGAUCAAACAGGAUUAGAUACCCUGGUAGUCCACGCCGUAACGAUGUGUGCUAGUUGUCGGGCCCUUAGGGUUCGGUGACGGAGCGAAAGUAUUAAGCACACCGCCUGGGGAGUACGGCCGCAAGGGUAAAACUCAAAGGAAUUGACGGGGACCCGCACAAGCG